rnacentral:lncRNA from 1 species
AUGGCGGUUCUCCGGAGGCUGAGUGCCCUUUACGGUGCCCAAGGAGGCCGAGCUCUGUUGCUGCGAACCCCAGUGAUCAGACCUGCUCAUAUCUCAGCAUUUCUUCAGGACCGACCUAUCCCAGAAUGGUGUGGAGUGCAGCACUUACACUUGUCACCGAGCCACCAUCCUGGCUCCAAGGCUGCGUCUCUCCACUGGACUAGCGAGAGGGUUGUCAGUGUUUUGCUCCUGGGUCUGCUUCCGGCUGCUUAUUUGAAUCCUUGCUCUGCGAUGGACUAUUCCCUGGCUGCAACCCUCACUCUUCCUGGUCACUGGGGCCUUAGACAAGUUGUUACUAUGUUCAUGGGGAUGCCUCGCAGAAAGCUACCAAGGCAGGGCUUUUGGCACUUUCAGCUUUAACCUUUACUGGGCUUUGCUAUUUCAACUAUCACGAUGUGGGCAUCUGCAAAGCUGUUGCCAUGCUGUGGAAGC